rnacentral:sRNA from 1 species
UCAAUAAAAUUUGUUGUAACUUAGAAAUCUAGGCUUAUUUCGAAUUUAUCUCAAAUUGAGAUCUAAGAUUAAGUAUGAGUGUUUUUGGAUUGAUGACAAGAGUUUUAACCAUUAUAAUACGUUUCUUUAUAAUUGUAGGAUUACUGCUCAUGGAGGCUAAUUGAUCGGCAUUGAGACAAAGAAAAAGUUAGUUUUCGUUUCAGAUUAUGAUUCUAUUUUUUUAGUUAGUGUUUUUUCUUUGUUGCUUUUAAUUGAAUAUAGACAUUUGUUGGGCAAUUGUUUAUGUAAGUCAAUAUGAGAUAGACUUAGAGGAGUAAACACAAUUGUUUAUGUACGUCAACAGAGCGAUUUGAGUAACGAGAAUGAAAAGAGUCUUUCUGUUGUUUUAAUCAGCUUUUGAUAAUAUUUAUAAAAUAUUCGACUUGAUCUGUUAAUUAAAUAAUUUGAAAUUCAAGUAUCAGUUGUUCUUAUACCAAAUUACAGUUUUAGCAGUAUAUUUUUGUAAAUGAAGUGAAGAUUAUAAAGUAUUAUAUGUUUAUAGCUUCUUUUUUUGGUUAACUA